UCCGAUAUGGUCUAGUGGUUAGGAUUACCCGCUCUCACCAGAGUUCGCUCGCUGUAACAAAGCGCCGGGUAGGCCCGGGUUCGAUUCCCGGUAUCGGAA